rnacentral:rRNA from 1 species
GAUGAACGCUGGCGGCGUGCCUAAUACAUGCAAGUCGAGCGAACGGACGAGAAGCUUGCUUCUCUGAUGUUAGCGGCGGACGGGUGAGUAACACGUGGAUAACCUACCUAUAAGACUGGGAUAACUUCGGGAAACCGUAGCUAAUACCGGAUAAUAUUUUGAACCGCAUGGUUCAAAAGUGAAAGACGGUUUUGCUGUCACUUAUAGAUGGAUCCGCGCUGCAUUAGCUAGUUGGUAAGGUAACGGCUUACCAAGGCAACGAUGCAUAGCCGACCUGAGAGGGUGAUCGGCCACACUGGAACUGAGACACGGUCCAGACUCCUACGGGAGGCAGCAGUAGGGAAUCUUGCGCAAUGGGCGAAAGCCUGACGGAGCAACGCCGCGUGAGUGAUGAAGGUCUUCGGAUCGUAAAACUCUGUUAUUAGGGAAGAACAUAUGUGUAAGUAACUGUGCACAUCUUGACGGUACCUAAUCAGAAAGCCACGGCUAACUACGUG